rnacentral:tRNA from 1 species
AGGGUCUUAGCUUCAUUAAAGUGUUUGGGUUGCAUUCAGAAGAUGUGAGAUAGAGUCUUGCAGGUCCUA